rnacentral:rRNA from 1 species
CCCUUAGAUGCUCUGGGCCGCACGCGCGCUACACUGGUCGAUGCAACGAGUUUCUUUCCUUGGCCGACAGGCCUGGGCAAUCUUUGAACAUCGAUCGUGAUCGGGAUAGAUUCUUGUAAUUUUUGAUCUUAAACGAGGAAUUCCUAGUAAACGCAAGUCAUCAGCUUGCAUUGAUUACGUCCCUGCCCUUUGUACACACCGCCUGUCGCACCUACCGAUUGAAUGGUCCGGUGAAAUCUCCGGACUGGCGUGAGUCGGAGCAAUCUGACAAACGCCGGAAAGUUGAUUAAACCUUACCAUUUAGAGGAAGGUGAAGUCGUAACA